rnacentral:rRNA from 1 species
UACGGAGGGUGCAAGCGUUAUCCGGAUUCACUGGGUUUAAAGGGUGUGUAGGCGGGCAUGUAAGUCAGUGGUGAAAUCUCCAGGCUCAACCUGGAAACUGCCAUUGAUACUAUAUGUCUUGAAUUUUGUUGAGGUUGGCGGAAUAAGUCAUGUAGCGGUGAAAUGCAUAGAUAUGACUUAGAACACCGAUUGCGAAGGCAGCUAACUAAGCAAAUAUUGACGCUGAGGCACGAAAGCGUGGGGAUCAAACAGG